rnacentral:rRNA from 1 species
AGUUUGAUCAUGGCUCAGGAUUGAACGCUGGCGGCAGGCUUAACACAUGCAAGUCGAGCGGGGGAAGGUAGCUUGCUACUGGACCUAGCGGCGGACGGGUGAGUAAUGCUUAGGAAUCUGCCUAUUAGUGGGGGACAACAUCUCGAAAGGGAUGCUAAUACCGCAUACGUCCUACGGGAGAAAGCAGGGGAUCUUCGGACCUUGCGCUAAUAGAUGAGCCUAAGUCGGAUUAGCUAGUUGGUGGGGUAAAGGCCUACCAAGGCGACGAUCUGUAGCGGGUCUGAGAGGAUGAUCCGCCACACUGGGACUGAGACACGGCCCAGACUCCUACGGGAGGCAGCAGUGGGGAAUAUUGGACAAUGGGGGGAACCCUGAUCCAGCCAUGCCGCGUGUGUGAAGAAGGCCUUAUGGUUGUAAAGCACUUUAAGCGAGGAGGAGGCUACUUUAGUUAAUACCUAGAGAUAGUGGACGUACUCGCAGAAUAAGCACCGGCU